rnacentral:rRNA from 1 species
GAUGAACGCUGGCGGCGUGCUUAACACAUGCAAGUCGAACGGGAAACCUUUUAUUGAAGCUUCGGCAGAUUUAGCUGGUUUCUAGUGGCGGACGGGUGAGUAACGCGUGGGUAACCUGCCCUAUACAGGGGGAUAACAACCAGAAAUGGUUGCUAAUACCGCAUAAGCGCACAGGGCCGCAUGGUCCGGUGUGAAAAACUCCGGUGGUAUAGGAUGGACCCGCGUUGGAUUAGCCAGUUGGCAGGGUAACGGCCUACCAAAGCGACGAUCCAUAGCCGACCUGAGAGGGUGAACGGCCACAUUGGGACUGAGACACGGCCCAGACUCCUACGGGAGGCAGCAGUGGGGAAUAUUGCACAAUGGGGGAAACCCUGAUGCAGCGACGCCGCGUGAAGGAAGAAGUAUCUCGGUAUGUAAACUUCUAUCAGCAGGGAAGAUAGUGACGGUACCUGACUAAGAAGCCCCGGCUAACUACGUG